rnacentral:lncRNA from 1 species
AUUACUCGUGAUAAUGAAAUGGGCCUACGGGCCAUUAACUGUUAAACGAAAGGCUUCGGCCCAGUGAUAUGAGAUAUGAAAAGGCUUCAGCCCAGUAUAUGUUGAGAUUGGAUUUGGGCUUAGGCCCAGCAAGCUGAUAUUGUUUUGGUCUCUGAAAAGGGCUUGUUGCACACUGAGUUUCCAAACUCACCCCCUUUCC